rnacentral:rRNA from 1 species
GACGAGGUGCACAAACGUUAUUCGGAAUUACUGGGCUUAAAGCGUGCGUAGGCGGCCUAGCAAGUCGGGUGUGAAAGCCCUCGGCUCAACCGAGGAAUUGCGCCCGAAACUGCUGGGCUUGAGUGAGACAGAGGUGAGCGGAACUGAUGGUGGAGCGGUGAAAUGCGUUGAUAUCAUCAGGAACACCGGUGGCGAAGGCGGCUCACUGGGUCUCAACUGACGCUGAGGCACGAAGGCCAGGGGAGCAAACGGG